UACGUAGGGUGCGAGCGUUGUCCGGAAUUACUGGGCGUAAAGAGCUCGUAGGUGGUUUGUCGCGUUGUUCGUGAAAACCGGGGGCUUAACCCUCGGCGUGCGGGCGAUACGGGCAGACUUGAGUACUGCAGGGGAGACUGGAAUUCCUGGUGUAGCGGUGGAAUGCGCAGAUAUCAGGAGGAACACCGGUGGCGAAGGCGGGUCUCUGGGACGGUACUGACGCUGAGACGCGAAAGCGUGGGGAGCGAACAGG
rnacentral:rRNA from 1 species